UUUUCAGUGCACUUCUUUACUGCCUUACGUGUUGUUUUUGGUUGCAACAUGUAAUCAGUUUCACAGCUGUACGUGUCUUCCGUUUUCAAGUUACAGAUUCUCCUUUCUUCAACACACAUUAGAACUACAUGCUCAAAAUCCGAGUCGCCAGAAUCUUGUGCCAAAUUUACAGUCUCAUCAUUCUUAACUUUCUUGGAGGUCUCGUUGUGCCAACACUCCAAAGAAUAGUGCCCAUACUUGUUACAAGUGUAGCAUUGUAUAUUACGUUUGUUUGUGCCUUUUCUGCCUCUACCUCUCGGGCAUCUACCACCUCUGCUACCUUCAUCCUCUCUGUUUUCUUCACCGCUUUGUUCUAAGUAUGUCACAUUUCUUCCUCCAUUUCGGCCACCUCCACCACGCGUUCUUCCUCUACCUCUGCCACGAUUCUUGUAACCUUGUUUCGUUCUUGCUUGAAAUGCUUGGCUUGUUGCUUGGGUCGUAUCUUUCUCGACAUUCUUUCUUUCCAACAACCUCUGUUCAUGUGCAACAAGUGAAUUCUGUAAUUCUUAAAUUUCAACGUUUCCAGAUCUUGAUACGCUUCAAUGGUGAUCACAAUAUGAUCAUACUACGGCGUCAGAGUACGCAAAACCUUUUGGAUUAGCUUUCUAUGUAACGCUCCGACAACUUAUAGGGAAUAUUGACUGCCCCCACAGAUCAACACGAGGCUUUCCAAUGUGUUUUGUCCUCACUCGCACAUUUUUCGGGAAAACUUCCCAGAAGGUCACCCAUCCCUAAAUUACUCCAGGC
rnacentral:lncRNA from 1 species